rnacentral:tRNA from 1 species
GCGCCUAUAGCUCAAUUGGUUAGAGCACCGAGCUUAUACCUCGGCGGUUGGGGGUUCGAGUCCCUCUGGGCGCACCA